AGAACGAACGCUGGCGGCAGGCUUAACACAUGCAAGUCGAGCGCCCCGCAAGGGGAGCGGCAGACGGGUGAGUAACGCGUGGGAACAUACCCUCCGGUUCGGAAUAGCUCAGGGAAACUUGGAUUAAUACCGGAUACGGCCUAGCGGCGAAAGAUUCAUCGCCGGAGGAUUGGCCCGCGUUCGAUUAGCUAGUUGGUGAGGUAACGGCUCACCAAGGCGACGAUCGAUAGCUGGUCUGAGAGGAUGAUCAGCCACAUUGGGACUGAGACACGGCCCAAACUCCUACGGGAGGCAGCAGUGGGGAAUAUUGGACAAUGGGCGCAAGCCUGAUCCAGCCAUGCCGCGUGAGUGAUGACGGCCUUAGGGUUGUAAAGCUCUUCGCUAGGACGAUAAUGACGUACCUAGACAAGAAGCCCCGGACUAACUUCGUGCCAGCAGCCGC
rnacentral:rRNA from 1 species